AUUGAACGCUGGCGGCAGGCCUAACACAUGCAAGUCGAGCGGAUGAAGGGAGCUUGCUCCUGGAUUCAGCGGCGGACGGGUGAGUAAUGCCUAGGAAUCUGCCUGGUAGUGGGGGAUAACGUCCGGAAACGGGCGCUAAUACCGCAUACGUCCUGAGGGAGAAAGUGGGGGAUCUUCGGACCUCACGCUAUCAGAUGAGCCUAGGUCGGAUUAGCUAGUUGGUGGGGUAAAGGCCUACCAAGGCGACGAUCCGUAACUGGUCUGAGAGGAUGAUCAGUCACACUGGAACUGAGACACGGUCCAGACUCCUACGGGAGGCAGCAGUGGGGAAUAUUGGACAAUGGGCGAAAGCCUGAUCCAGCCAUGCCGCGUGUGUGAAGAAGGUCUUCAGAUUGUAAAGCACCUUAAGUUGGGAGGAAGGGCAGUAAGUUAAUACCUUGCUGUUUUGACGUUACCAACAGAAUAAGCACCGGCUAACUUCGUG
rnacentral:rRNA from 1 species